rnacentral:rRNA from 1 species
UACGUAGGGGGCUAGCGUUGUCCGGAUUUAUUGGGCGUAAAGAGCGUGUAGGCGGCCAGGUAGGUCUGCUGUGAAAACUCGAGGCUCAACCUCGAGACGUCGGCGGAAACCAUCUGGCUAGAGUCCGGAAGAGGAGAGUGGAAUUCUCGGUGUAGCAGUGAAAUGCGUAGAGAUCGGGAGGAACAUCAGUUGCGAAGGCGGCUCUCUGGACCAGUACUGACGCUGAGGCACGAAAGCGUGGGGAGCAAACAGG